AACGAACGCUGGCGGCAGGCUUAACACAUGCAAGUCGAGCGCCCCGCAAGGGGAGCGGCAGACGGGUGAGUAACGCGUGGGAACGUACCCUUUGCUACGGAAUAGCUCCGGGAAACUGGAAUUAAUACCGUAUGUGCCCUACGGGGGAAAGAUUUAUCGGCAAAGGAUCGGCCCGCGUUGGAUUAGCUAGUUGGUGGGGUAAUGGCCCACCAAGGCGACGAUCCAUAGCUGGUCUGAGAGGAUGAUCAGCCACAUUGGGACUGAGACGCGGCCCAAACUCCUACGGGAGGCAGCAGUGGGGAAUAUUGGACAAUGGGCGCAAUCCUGAUCCAGCCAUGCCGCGUGAGUUAUGAAGGCCUUAGGGUUGUAAAGCUCUUUCACCGGAGAAGAUAAUGACGGUAUCCGGAGAAGAAGCCCCGGCUAACUUCGUGCCAGCAGCCGCCGUAAAAC
rnacentral:rRNA from 1 species